UCAGCCUCUCCUGAAUCUCAGCUCUGCAAGUGUUGUCCGUCUCUUCUCAGACUCUCUAGUCCCAUGAUCGUUGCAAGGUGGACAACUGUCCUCGUGAGCACAUGCCUGGCCACACUGAGGGCUAGGAGCAGAAGAAGCACUAGGGAUUGAACCCAGGAUCUUAUGCAUGCUAAGCAUGUGCUCUACCACUUGAGCUACAUACUCCUCCCUACCCUGCAGAGUAACUUGUAAGUUACCGAAUCUUGAAAGAAAUGUCUCAGUGCUCAAUGGCCGUGGAAUCCCUGGUCAAGCAGACACCCCUCUGAUGCUCUUCCCAGCUCAUGAUCCUUUUCCUGGUGACAGGACCCUGGCAGCCGUGUUUGUGUUAUGAAUACCAACCCCUGUUGCUGUGGGUGGGAACAGGGCAAACCUAAGCUUAGCCAAUUAGAUUCUCACUCCCAGAAAUUUGGUGUUGGGAUUCAGAGACAGCCAGUAACUUUUUCUCUAGGGUGGGAACUGAAUUGGUGAAAACUCAAGCAGAGGAAAAGCACACAGAGAAAGAUGGUCUGAAGAGAGAGAAGAAACAGGUGUACUGAGGGAAAUAAGGUGGAGAAAUGGAGAGGGAAUACUGGCAGGGUUCCCAAAGGCUGUCCAGGUCUUUGCUCUGGACCCUUCUGAAGCUUGACUGCUUUUAUGCCCCUAGAUUUUAUGAAUUACCUCUGUAACCUUAGAAUAAAAUUUCCCUUUCAAUUGAGCUAGCUCAAGUUGACUUCUCUUACUGUUAACCAAACUGAUCUUAAGUCAAGUACUCAGUUUCUGUAAAGCCGAAAUCCUUGUGAAGCCUGGACACAUUACUCUUGUCUCAAGGUGCCAUGGGAAAUAUCUCCAAUAAAAAAAAAUUUUUUUUUUAUUGUAAGAGAAA